CUCAGUUCGGAUUGGAGUCUGCAACCCGACUCCAUGAAGCUGGAUUCGCUAGUAAUCGCGCAUCAGCCACGGCGCGGUGAAUACGUUCCCGGGCCUUGUACACACCGCCCGUCAAGCCAUGGAAGCCGGGAGUGCCUGAAGUACGCGACCGCAAGGAGCGUCCUAAGGUAAAACCGGUGACUGGGGCUAAGUCGUAACAAGGUACC
rnacentral:rRNA from 1 species